rnacentral:lncRNA from 1 species
CUGCCCCUCGGUGUCUCGUCAUUGCUACGCAGCUGAAUUCUGGCUAAAAUGAACGAUGAAAGAGGGAAGGAGAAACAAUGGAAUGGGAGUCUCAGAGGUGUGUGCUCUGCGGCUGCCCUUCAUGCCCGCGCCCACUGCGGAGUCCUCUGGAAGGCUGCACCUCUAAUUGCCUACUGGUUAUUCUGGGUUUUUUAAACCAGCCGCUGGUCCACACCUGCACCUUCCCGUCUGCCUCUGCUGCAGUCCUCAGACUGCCUUGUCCUUAUCACCAGGGCGGUGUUGGGGGCCCGAGGGACCCCGAUGGUAAACCAGGAUCAUAGCCCUGCUUGCUGCCGGGCAUGGGGAAGGACGGCCACGUCUAGAGUGCCAUGAGCACGAUUUCAAAUGUCACUCUGUCGCCACACCCUGCUCAACGCCCCUCAACUCCGCGCCCUGCCUCGUGGGGAGCUGCUCCCUGGGCACGUCCUCGGCCGGACCAGGCUCCUGAGCCUCAUGGCUUUUUUACCCACAACUUGGGCUCAAAACGAAGUGAAACCUGAUUAGGAAAUGAUGUCAAGAGAAAAAGCAAUGCUGAAUUUGCUUUCUGGUGAGUCCGAGAUAAAGAGCCAUCGCAGUCCUUCUAUGGGAGCAGGAGGGGACACCGGGUCACGCCACCAGGUGUCUGAGAGCAGGAGAGACACACCAGAUCAUGCCAUCAGUAGAGCCCAGGUAGUACCCCUGUGGGAAAAAUCAGCCACGGGAUGCAAGGUGACGGCAACCUGCACUCCCAUCACAUCGACACGAGUGCAAUCCAUGCUGCUCCCCGUCCUGGGGCCUUGCCUUGGCACAGUGAAGAGGAUCCCAAGCAGAGGACCGGGGAAGACUCACAUCGGCAUCAGUGCGCUCUGGAAUGUUCCUUGGCUCCCACAUCACAGUCAAUCUGCUGCCUCAUCCAGGACAAGACCAAGGUCAGGGGACAAGGAAAACUCUGGAAGUCUGGGAUGCCCUUUGCCCUGCACAAGUCCUAGUGGAGCCUUGCUACGCCAUUGAUACUCACAAGCGUCCUCUUGCACAGUUAAUAAAUGGGGAUGUUUCAGGUAUUUUCUCUGGAGAUUAAUGAUAUAAAUAAAGCAUAAUUAAUUACAUUUUAAAUUUGAUUUUCAGUACAUUUUAAAUGAUCACAAAACCUAAUCUGUCCUAUUAAUUUUUACUGAAUUCAAUGACACUGAGUAAGUUGCUUUGGGUUAUUUCCUCACCGGGACAUUACACAUUUUCCUAAAAAAUGGCACCUUUCUGAGCCUGGGCAGGGACUCCUCUCUCACACGCACUUAGCAGUGAAAUCUGUCAGUGGUCUUUCACUAAUUGCUUUUGUUACUUUUAGAGAAAACUGAUUUUCUUCAUAAUUUGUUAACUGCAAUUUUCUCCAGUGACUAAAAGUCCAGAAAAAAGUAAAGAAUAUCAAAAUGAUUACAUAACCAAGACCAAAGGCUAAGUUAGAUUAAAGAAUUAAAUAGGUUUCAGUUAGGUAAACAUUAACUAAGUAGAGUGAGCAUUGCAG